rnacentral:rRNA from 1 species
GGAUUAGAUACCCUGGUAGUCCAUGCCGUAAACGUUGGGCACUAGGUGUGGGGGACAUUCCACGUUUUCCGCGCCGUAGCUAACGCAUUAAGUGCCCCGCCUGGGGAGUACGGCCGCAAGGCUAAAACUCAAAGGAAUUGACGGGGGCCCGCACAAGCGGCGGAGCAUGCGGAUUAAUUCGAUGCAACGCGAAGAACCUUACCAAGGCUUGACAUGUACCGGAAACAUCCAGAGAUGGGUGCCCCGCAAGGUCGGUACACAGGUGGUGCAUGGUUGUCGUCAGCUCGUGUCGUGAGAUGUUGGGUUAAGUCCCGCAACGAGCGCAACCCUCGUUCCAUGUUGCCAGCAACACUUCGGUGGUUGGGGACUCAUGGGAGACUGCCGGGGUCAACUCGGAGGAAGGUGGGGAUGACGUCAAGUCAUCAUGCCCCUUAUGUCCAGGGCUUCACACAUGCUACAAUGGCCGGUACAAAGGGCUGCGAAACCGUGAGGUGGAGCGAAUCCCAUAAAGCCGGUCUCAGUUCGGAUCGGGGUCUGCAACUCGACCCCGUGAAGUCGGAGUCGCUAGUAAUCGCAGAUCAGCAACGCUGCGGUGAAUACGUUCCCGGGCCUUGUACACACCGCCCGUCACGUCAUGAAAGUCGGUAACACCCGAAGCCGGUGGCCCAACCCGUCAGGGGGGGAGCUGUCGAAGGUGGGACUGGCGAUUGGGACGAAGUCGUAACAAGGUAGCCGUA